rnacentral:lncRNA from 1 species
CCAGAGGCUGCCUGCAUUCCUUGGCUCAUGGCUCCUCUUCCAUCUUCAAAGCCAGCAACCAACCAGGUCUUUCUCACAUUGUGUCACUCUGGUUUCCUCUUAUACCUUUCUCUUCUACUUGUUAUCACACAGUCCUGCCUCAAGAUGGGUUUGGGCAAGAACAUAAUUGCCCCAAGUCCCUGACAUAAACGGGUGUAGUAUGCGCAUAUAACCUGCAUCCUCCACAUUGUCAUCAAUAGUGACAGAACCCUUGGGAUAACACUGGGCCCACCCAGAUAAUCCAGGCUAAUCUCCCCAUCUACUGGUAUGAAAC